CAGGUUAAUCAUUAUUUAAUUAAUGAAUUUAAAUAACGGUUAGUUUUUUCUCAUGCUAUGAACCAGAAAACUUGGAAUCUUUUGUCAGCAAGAUACGCUCGAGACAUUGCCCAGGUAGCUUAAACGGGCUGGCUGUGUUGAUAUCGCUAAGUAAUAUGGAUAAUACAGAUUCGAGAACAGGAUCAAAUACCGUCCCUGAAGCAACAUGGUUAUUUUAACCUUUUCAUUCAACUUCUGCAUAAAUAAAUCAAUCAGUGAUCUUAAUUAUAGCUUUCAACCCAUAUAGUAAGCAUCAUUCGGGAACUCAAUAAUGCAUGCUGUCAACUUGAUCAUUAUAGAUCAGAGUCGGAUGUGGGCUUUUCAGGAUGCGAAUCAAAAUAAGAUUAAAUGGUAAAAGCAGAAUAAAUAGCAAACUCAUCCCACAAAUUUGCCCAUUUCAAAACACUGUUGCGAACUGGUAUGAAGGGAGAUUAGAAGGUGGGAAUUGUUGUGUAUGACUUAUAGUUUGGAUUUUCAAUUUAGCUCUAAACUGUGGCGUCUAUCACUUAUGUACUAAUCCAAUUCGAUUAAUCCAACCCUCAACAAAUGGCAGGAACAGUCAAAAUCGUUACCAUCUUCAAAGCAACUAGUAGAAGUUUAAGCACUGAGACAACACGGUAACUGGGGCAAAAGUUCUAAAGCAUUAAAAAGAAGAGAAAUUUAACAAGCACAGAUGAACAAGAUCGAGUCUUUUAUGUACAUAGCGUCAAAUUAGAAUAAAAUUUAGCUAAAAAUAAAAGCUAUAAAGUACAAUCUUUUCUUCUACCUGACUCGGGACUCAAAAAAUCAUCCAGAAGACCAGUUUUGGGGCAUCCAAAUAAUUAAGAGAUAUGAGAAGCAGCUCGACGACUGGUAUUGUGAGAGAAGAAA